rnacentral:misc_RNA from 1 species
GAGGAAGAGGUCGAGGCGCUGCAGACCACCGCCAUGGUGGUUGCAGAAAUGAUCGCCUCGGGCGAGCUAUCGGCCAUUGCCAAGCCCGGCGCCGAGCCCGCCGCACGUCACUCGCUGCACAAGACCCGCGCGAUCCUGUNNNGCUCGGCCAUGUCGUGCUGCACGAGCCGCGCGUCGUCAUCACCAACUACAUCGCCGAGGAUCUGCCGAAGGAGCUCAAGCGGCUCGACACCGCGAUCCUGAAACUGCGCGCCGAUCUCGACCGCAUGCUGGAGCGCGGCGACGGUGCUGAAGGCGGCGAACACCGCGACGUGUUAGAGGCCUACCGCAUGUUCGCCAACGAC